AGUGAACGCUGGCGGUAGGCCUAACACAUGCAAGUCGAACGGCAGCACAGUAAGAGCUUGCUCUUACGGGUGGCGAGUGGCGGACGGGUGAGGAAUACAUCGGAAUCUACUUUUUCGUGGGGGAUAACGUAGGGAAACUUACGCUAAUACCGCAUACGACCUACGGGUGAAAGCAGGGGAUCUUCGGACCUUGCGCGAUUGAAUGAGCCGAUGUCGGAUUAGCUAGUUGGCGGGGUAAAGGCCCACCAAGGCGACGAUCCGUAGCUGGUCUGAGAGGAUGAUCAGACACACUGGAACUGAGACACGGUCCAGACUCCUACGGGAGGCAGCAGUGGGGAAUAUUGGACAAUGGGCGCAAGCCUGAUCCAGCCAUACCGCGUGGGUGAAGAAGGCCUUCGGGUUGUAAAGCCAUUUUGUUGGGAAAGAAAAGCAGCAGGUUAAUACCCCGCUGUUCUGACGGUACCCAAAGAAUAAGCACCGGCUAACUUCGUG
rnacentral:rRNA from 1 species